GUGACCCAACCUAAAUGAUCUCAACCACAUAUUCUCGACCACAAAUGGAGACUUAUUCAGAAAUAAGUCAUAAAAUGUUUGAAAAAAAUUAAAACUUAAAUGUAUAACCAAGAGAAAGAAUUCAUUUUCCUAACCUGGUCCACAUAUAGACAAAUCCCAAUGGCCCUGAAAUCAGUACUGAGUUUUAAGAAACUACUAACAACUGAGUUUCACGCUACUUAUGAUCAAUAUCUAGAAGCUACUGAAAGUCCUGCUGUGUAUACAUGAUUUGGAAUAUUAUCCAGUUCUGCUCCUAUCUCAAACCUCAUUCCACAAAACUGGGCUGCCCUGACUGUGUAAGAUUAAUCAUAAUUCAUCUUUCAACUGGAA